rnacentral:lncRNA from 1 species
GCGUCGGGAUCCAAAGUGGUGGAAAAAGCGUCGGUAGUAGACCUUUCGGCACUAAAAGCCCCCCAGAAAAAAGCGUGCAAGGGGACAUUGUUGUGUGGAGAGGGUGCGUAAGUUUCGUUAGUUGUUCCAGGUCUGUUACCUUAAAAACCUUUUCUUGUAGGUGAAAAAAUUUGAAGGGGGUGGUGUUUGCACACUGAACAGCAGGCCCGAUGACUGUGAUUAGAAGUCCCAGGUUAAUAGGUUUCUGACCCCAGUGCCCUAAUCUGCCUUGGCUUUUCCUGGGUGCCACCCACGUGCUCUUACAAAAGGUCUUGUCUAGAUUGAAUACAGGAGCUGUGGGCUUUCUGGAGUCCUUCAGCAAUGCAGACAUUGGACAGCCUUCUGCGCCUUUUAAGGAUGCCCGUAUUAUUUUUUGUUUGGUGUCUUGCUUGUUUGCACAUUUAACAAAAACCUACGGUGGGUGGUAAGAAAAUGAAGACUGUCAGAACUGGUGGACAACUCAUCUUCAACUCCAGUCCCUAAAAGUGGAGUGCAAAAGGAAUUAACUCUAGCCCAAGACGUGGUGAAGAGUCGGAUGCUUAUUUCCUAGUUAUUCUUGAGGACGAAAUGGCAGACUGCAGAGUUCCCAGAUGUUACGGAUGACAUCUCCUCAUCAUUACAGGUGAACUUGACAGUUCCACAGCAACUCACAUGGUUGAAGAUCACUUCCUUUUUCUUUUUUUUUUUUUUUUAAUUUUUUUUUUCAACGUUUAUUUAUUUUUGGGACAGAGAGAGACAGAGCAUGAACGGGGGAGGGGCAGAGAGAGAGGGAGACACAGAAUCGGAAACAGGCUCCAGGCUCUGAGCCAUCAGCCCAGAGCCUGACGCGGGGCUCGAACUCACGGACCGCGAGAUCGUGACCUGGCUGAAGUCGGACGCUUAACCGACUGCGCCACCCAGGCGCCCCCUCACUUCCUUUUUCUUACUUAAACCCUUGGAUCUCUUAGCUUCUGGGAUUCUGCAUUACUUAUUUUAGAUCCUCACCCACUCUAGUUUCCUCUCUAGAUGAUGACAUGUAAAGCUUGUCUUUAUUUUUUUUCUUUCCAGGUUCCCGAGAAUGUGAGUCCUAAGUCUGCACCUUUCGUCAAGAGUUCUAGGUUCACAUUUUCAGCUGCUUGUGGGUUGUUGGAUAUUUCUACAUGCAUGUCUUAUUGUCAGUUCUGACUCAGAAGCUCCAAAAACUUCUCCAAUAAACCUUUUUUUCCUAACGUG